UACGUAGGGCGCAAGCGUUAUCCGGAAUUAUUGGGCGUAAAGAGCUCGUAGGCGGUUUGUCGCGUCUGCCGUGAAAGUCCGGGGCUCAACUCCGGAUCUGCGGUGGGUACGGGCAGACUAGAGUGAUGUAGGGGAGACUGGAAUUCCUGGUGUAGCGGUGAAAUGCGCAGAUAUCAGGAGGAACACCGGUGGCGAAGGCGGGUCUCUGGGCCGUAACUGACGCUGAGGAGCGAAAGCAUGGGGAGCGAACAGG
rnacentral:rRNA from 1 species